GCUGGCGGCACGCCUAAUACAUGCAAGUCGAACGAAGUAGCAAUACUUAGUGGCAGACGGGUGAGUAACAUGUGGGUAUCUUCCCUUUGGUGAGGAAUAACACGAGGAAACUUGUGCUAAUACCUCAUAAGUCUUUACGGAGAAAGCUUUAUGCGCCAAUGGAUGAGCCCGCACUUGAUUAGUUUGUUGGUGGGGUAAUGGCCUACCAAGACAAUGAUCAAUAGCUGAUUUGAGAGGAUGAUCAGCCACAUUGGGACUGAGACACGGCCCAAACUCCUACGGGAGGCAGCAGUAGGGAAUCUUGCACAAUGGAGGAAACUCUGAUGCAGCGAUGCCGCGUGAGUGAAGAAGGCCCUUGGGUUGUAAAGCUCUUUCGUCGGGGAAGAAAAUGACUGUACCCGAAUAAGAAGGUCCGGCUAACUUCGUGCCAGCAGCCGCGGUAAUACGAAGGGACCUAGCGUAGUUCGGAAUUACUGGGCUUAAAGAGUUCGUAGGUGGUUAAAAAAGUUGGUGGUGAAAGCCCAGAGCUUAACUCUGGAACUGCCAUCAAAACUUUUUAGCUAGAGUAUGAUAGAGGAAAGCAGAAUUUCUAGUGUAGAGGUGAAAUUCGUAGAUAUUAGAAAGAAUACCAAUUGCGAAGGCAGCUUUCUGGAUCAUUACUGACACUGAGGAACGAAAGCAUGGGUAGCGAAGAGGAUUAGAUACCCUCGUAGUCCAUGCUGUAAACGAUGUGUGUUAGAUGUUGGAAAUUUAUUUUCAGUAUCGCAGCGAAAGCAAUAAACACACCGCCUGGGGAGUACGACCGC
rnacentral:rRNA from 1 species